rnacentral:rRNA from 1 species
GUGGGGGAUAUUGCACAAUGGAGGAAACUCUGAUGCAGCGACGCCGCGUGAGUGAAGAAGUAUUUCGGUAUGUAAAGCUCUAUCAGCAGGGAAGAUAAUGACAGUACCUGACUAAGAAGCCCCGGCUAACUACGUGUCAGCAGCCGCGGUAAUACGUAGGGGGCAAGCGUUAUCCGGAUUUACUGGGUGUAAAGGGAGCGUAGACGGAAUGGCAAGUCUGAAGUGAAAUCCUGCGGCUUAACUGCAGAAUUGCUUUGGAAACUGUCAAUCUGGAGUGUUGGAGAGGUAAGCGGAAUUCCUGGUGUAGCGGUGAAAUGCGUAGAUAUCAGGAAGAACACCGGAGGCGAAGGCGGCUUACUGGACAAUAACUGACGUUGAGGCUCGAAAGCGUGGGAAGCAAACAGGAUUAGAAACCCGGGUAGUCC